ACCGUGUGCCUACAAGCGGUCAGAGCAGGCGUCAACUAUGGGAAGUCGAGAGGUCAAGAGGUCGAGAGGUUUACCUUCUCAUCUGUUAACCUGUUAACCGAUAGACCUGUCAAUUUUUCAUAGUUGACGCUUGUGAUGGCGUGCCUUUUGCAUAAUGAGCCAACGAGUUAAUGUUAUAAGCGAGGUUAAGUAUUACAGGUAUGGAGCCGUAGCGAAAGCGAGUCUGAAGAGGGCGUAAUAAGUUUAUGGCAUUAGACCCGAAACCAGGUGAUCUACCCAUGGUCAGGUUGAAGGUUGGGUAAAACCAACUGGAGGACCGCACCAACCGUCGUUGAAAAGGCGGUGGAGGAACUGUGGGUAGGGGUGAAAGGCCAAACAAACCUGGAGAUAGCUGGUUCUCUCCGAAACAUAUUUAGGUAUGGCCUCAGUGGAGAUUAUUGGAGGUAGAGCACUGAAUGGGCUAGGGGGCUUACACGCUUACUGAACCCAAUCAAACUCCGAAUGCCGAUAAUUGCUCACUGGGAGACAGGGCGCGGGCGAUAAGGUUCGCGUGCGAGAGGGGAACAACCCAGACUGUCAGCUAAGGCCCCGAAAUAGAUACUUAGUGCGUAAGGAUGUUCAAUUGCCCAGACAGCCAGGAUCUUGGCUUAGAAGCAGCCAUGAUUUAAAGAGUGCGUAACAGCUCACUGGUCGAGUGGUAGGGCACCGAAGAUAAUCGGGACUGAAGUAUCUUGCCGAAGCUGCGGACUUGCAUAUAGAUGUGAGUGGUAGGAGAGCAUUGUGAUUGCGCAGAAGGUGUAUUGUGAGAUAUGCUGGAGCGGUCACAAGAGACCAUGUUGGCAUGAGUAACGAUAAUGCGGGUGAGAAACCCGCACACCAUAAGCCCAAGGAUUCCUGAGUAAAGUUAAUCUUCUCAGGGUUAGUCGGUCCCUAAGGUAUAGCGAUAAGGCGAAGCUGAUGGGAAUCAGGUUAAUAAUCCUGAACCUGAGUAUUGAGUGAAGGAGUGACGCGACGGUGCUGCAAGGACAGCUGUUGGAAUAGCUGUUGAAUGCAGGUAGGAAGUGAGACAGGUAAAUCCGUUUCACAGAUAUUCCGAGAUGCAGGACGAGGCGUAAGCCGUAAAGCUUGUUUAGAGACGUUGCCGAGAAAUAGCUUCUAGCGUUAAUCAAUAUUCAGACCGUACCGCAAACCGACACAGGUGGGCGAGGAGAGUAUCCUAAGGUGUUCGAGCGAACUCUGGUUAAGGAACUAGGCAAAAUUACCCCGUAACUUCGGGAGAAGGGGUGCCCCGUUAUCGUGAUUAGUCAGCGCUAUGAGCGAGAGGGGGCCGCAGUGAAUAGGCCCAAGCGACUGUUUAUCAAAAACACAGGUCUAUGCGAAGGCGAAAGCCACGGUAUAUAGACUGACACCUGCCCGGUGCCGGAAGGUUAAGUGGAGAGGUCAGCCUGCACUAAUUUUAUCAUAAUGAAUGGCGUGAGCAGGAAUUUAGAUGAUGGUGAAAUUAGUGCAGGCGAAGCUUCGAAAUGAAGCCCCGGUAAACGGCGGCCGUAACUAUAACGGUCCUAAGGUAGCGAAAUUCCUUGUCGGGUAAGUUCCGACCUGCACGAAUGGUGUAACGAUUUGGGCGCUGUCUCAACCAGGGGCUCGGUGAAAUUGAAGUAGCGGUGAAGAUGCCGCUUACCCGCGAACGGACGGAAAGACCCCGUGAACCUUUACUGUAGCUUGGCAUUGUAAAUUGGUGCAGUAUGUGUAGGAUAGGUGGGAGGCUAUGAAGCGUGCACGCUAGUGUGCGUGGAGCCGACGUUGAAAUACCACCCUUAUUGUAUUGGUUUACUAACGAUUGUAAAGCGAUUGGACAUUGCCAGGUGGGCAGUUUGACUGGGGCGGUCGCCUCCGAAAGAGUAACGGAGGCUUACCAAGGUUCCCUCCGGCUGGUUGGUAAUCAGCCAUAGAGCGCAAAGGUAUAAGGGAGCUUAACUGCGAGACCGACGGGUCGAGCAGGUGG
rnacentral:rRNA from 1 species